ACCUGGCUAACUCAGUCAGGAGAGUAUGCGACUCUUGAUCUCAAGGCUGUGAGUUCGAGUCCCAUGUUGGGUG
rnacentral:tRNA from 1 species